GCAGGUGUCAACACCCUUCCAUUCUUUAACCAAGCAAGUAUGACUUGUUGGUUCUUAGCACCUUCCAUCUGUCAGCCUCUUGUCUCAGAUCUCAACUCUGGUCCUUGUCACCACACCACCAGUAAGAAAGAACCUAAUAUGCACCACCCCCUUUGAAAGAUGAGAUGUCCAGAAGUUGAAAAGAUGAAUAUAACUAAGAUCACAGAAAAAUCAAGUGGCACAGAGAAAACAUAAACUUUAAAAUUUGACUCUUAACAACA